GUAGGGUGCAAGCGUUAAUCGGAAUUACUGGGCGUAAAGCGUACGCAGGCGGUUUUGUAAGUCUGACGUGAAAGCCCCGGGCUCAACCUGGGAAUUGCGUUGGAGACUGCAAGGCUUGAAUCUGGCAGAGGGGGGUAGAAUUCCACGUGUAGCAGUGAAAUGCGUAGAGAUGUGGAGGAACACCGAUGGCGAAGGCAGCCCCUCGGGUCAAGAUUGACGCUCAUGCACGAAAGCGUGGGGAGCAAACAGGAUUAGAUACCCUGGUAGUCCACGCCCUAAACGAUGUCUACUAGUUGUCGGGUCUUAAUUGACUUGGUAACGCAGCUAACGCGUGAGGUAGACCGCCUGGGGAGUACGGUCGCAAGAUU
rnacentral:rRNA from 1 species